CCAGGUUGUAUUAAUGUUGGUGGCAUCAUCUUCCCUGCUUAGUAAAACUUCUGUGGUGCAUAUAUGCAUCCAAUUCAAUCUCUGCAGUCUAUUACCAGGGGAAUUGAAGAUGCUAUGGUGAAGAAGCCUAACGUGAUUAGACAGGUCACAUAUGGUUCUUGCAUCAAGAACGGCGGCUAUGGAAAGUUGAAGAAGUAUGAGCCAUAAACCCGGCCUUAAUUUGGGCAUUCAUGGUGAUAACGACGUUUACCAGGCCAGGCCGUUCUAUUGGACUGCGAUUCCCAUUCCCCAACGUUGUUUGUUGUAAAUUUUAUAUAUCCACUCCGCUUACAACGUAAAUAUUGCGGUGGAAAAUAAUAUACGGUUUAAAUAAAAUAUUAAACCUA